rnacentral:lncRNA from 1 species
GGAAACAGUUCCUUCUCGGAGGGGGCUGUUUACGGGCAAGGGCAAAAAGGUCAUUUUCACUGUGUGAAAAUAUUAUGGAAAUGAUAUCAACGGAACGGGCUCGACGAAACAAAGACGUGGGCUUUGGAAUCACCUGAUUUGGAGCUACGGGUAAAAAGAUAUGAUUGUUUAACUACCAGGGACCUAUCUAUAAAGAAAAUCAUUACAAACUGGCCCCUGGCAGAAAACAGAUCGCGUCUUUCUCAGGAAUACGCUUUCGCGUACGGAAAACGGUUUCUCGGCGGGGCGCCGCCACUUAUCCGACGUGGCCAGCGGGGCAACACCCUACGGUCGCCGACAGGUGGCGCCGCGCGGGAAAGGGCCCGCCUGGCCCUGGCGUCUUCAACCUCCCGCUCGGGAUCGAGCGAGGCCGAGGGAGGGGGUCGCCUCGACGGCGGUCGUCGGCACGUCCGGCCACCACACGGGGCGCGCGACCUACCCAGACUCUCAGGGCGGAGAGGCGCAUCGGGUGGAGGUCUCCGUUGCCGGCGACGACCACGGGAGAGGGAGUCACACAGCCUGCAGCGGAGAGGGGCUUCGGCCUCCGGUGAACUAGGGGCUCCGGUGAGGAAAACGGUCGGGCGAGGCAACGGGGAGGCUUGACGGACUCCGGGCGAGGCUCUGGUGGAGUCUAAAUGGCUAGGAGCGCGCGGGAUCGCCGGAAUCGAGAGGGACCCGAGGCGGCGAUGGAAGUGGAGGAGUGACACCGGGGACAAGAGGAGGGGUUGGGGAGGCGUAGAGGAGGGUGAGGUAGCUGAUGAAGAGCUCGAGGGGGUCGCGGGCUCCUUUUAUAGCCGGGGCGAGGGGUGGCCGAGCCGAGCACCACCGAGCAUGUCCGUCCACGGCUCUGCCGGCCGCAACAGUCACGGAGGCGCACGGGAAGGCGACGAGGAGGGUCAAGACGAGCAGCAGAGGCUCACGGAGACGACCGGCGCUCGGGGACGAAAGGACGAAGCGGACAGAGGCGAGGAAGACGACGAGCUCACGGGCGCGCACUGCUCGGUCAUUGGCACGGCUCGCCGGAGAAGAAAACGAAGGGGGCAGCGGUCCAGAGGGAAGACGACGACGAGGGAGGCUACUGGACAUUAAUGGUGAGGCCAGAGGCGGUCGGGGCAGCGAUGCCGACGACCACAGUGGCUAGACCACCGUUUUGGCUGGUUACACGCGUGGUCACCACUGGCAUGGCACGCUCUGGGUUUUUUACUGAUGUAAGUUCAUGUCUACCGCGUAGUCCUUCCAGCGUGGAGUGUUACCAUGGUGAAAGAUCGGGCAGUGACUAAUGGAGAUGAGUGAAACAAGCUCCACAAGUUUGCUGUUGCAAACUUGGCAACAUCCUAGAGAUUAAACCAGAGAGGGUAAAUGGUAAACUUGAUGUCCGGGAGGCUUGGGGUACAAAGGACUGCGGUCCUGGGAGUUUUGAGGUAAAAUGGACAACUAUUUACCAUAGUUGCUGUACAACCACCAAAACUGACCUAGAAACUUAAUCAUGAUGAAACACUCACUAGGAGUGAUGGAUUGGGCUAUAACUAGGCAAAGCCUGAUGAUUUGAACAUACCAUGAUGCUGUUAAAAGUUCAUACCAAAUGGACUCACCAAAAUGGUACUUCCUUCACAACUAUCAUUUCUGUCCAAAAACUUCAGAAAAAUCCUCAGGGCAAUUGGUCAAGUGAAAUGAGCCACAAUCUUGUGGAGAUAGGUUUUAUGAGUAGGAGAAGGCCUGGAAAAAUUAUCAACCAUAAUGGAGCAAGAUAAAAUACACUUGCUUCACAAACUGAAAAUUUGGACAUAAAACAAGAAUUGCUCCUGUGCUCACAUAGUUCAAUGAAAUGAACUGAAUUUGGGUGGAGCAUAAUGAUUUGAAAUACUUGAGAGGAUGGAAAAGUUUCAUCCCAUUUGGAAACACUAUGAAGGUACUUCCUUCACAAACUUGUGUUCUGGUCAGAAACUUUGAAACAUUGCACAGGGAGCUAGGCUGAAUGUAUUGAGCUCAUCUUUGGUAUCCAUGGGUUAUUUGACAAUGUUAAACACCCUGCCAAAUUGCAGCUCAAUUGGACUUAGCAAUAAAGCACUUCCUUUGCAAAAUUUCAGAGAAGGCAGAAACUUGCAUUCGAUCAUGUGUCAAAUUUUGAACUUUGGAAUCAUGAUAUUAGGAUGGAACUAGUGAUUAUAUAGGAAGGACAAGCUCCACAAUUUAUGUGGGAAUUUUCUCUGCUAUAAAAAUAGUAGUUCCUUUGGAAAAUGGCAGAAAUGCAAUAUUGGCAUUAAAUAGGAAAAGGCAAUUUUCCUUAUUUAAUUAUGGCCAAUAUACUUGCCAGAGCUUGGAUUGUGCAUAAGUAUCAACUCCACCAAUUCUCAUGAAUUUAGGAGAUGGCUAGAUAUGCCUUUGGAUUUUAUUCCUCAGAAAGGCAAGAAAAGGAAUAAAUCAUAAUUCAAAAAUAUUGCAUUGGACUUAGCAAUAUUUUUUCAUAUCCAAGGUUCAGAAGGAUAGGAUGAUCUCUUGGAACAAUUGGGAGGAUAAACAGAUCAAAGAAGAUGAGAGCUCCUUUGUAUUCACAAAGGGCAUAUUCAAAUUCCAAAAAUUUGGAAUUAGGGUUUGAGAGGAUUUGAGCUGAUGAAAAUGAGGUCUUGCCCACUGAAAAAGACAUGAGCAAGGUUUUGAAAUGUUGGAAAUGACAAAAUUUCUCAGAGUCAUCCAGCAAACUCAGGAGAAAAUUUUGAAAAUGAGUGCCAGGAGAGAAUAACAGCACAAAAAUUGAUAACCCUAUUUUUGGGGCUGUUACAACUCUUCCCCCCUUAAAAAGAAAUCUCAUCCUCGAGAUUCCUAGGGUUAUAGCACAAAUGAAAGAAUAACAACUCUGGAGAAAAACCUCGGGGUUAAUUUUUAACCCUUUGGUUAAAUUCAAAUGAGUUGGGGGCACCGAGAAAAAAUAUUCGCGGAUUCCUCCACGAAACGUAGGUGUCGAGGUAGAAUCAAGGGUGAAACCUGUAUCGGGUAGAUGUACUGGAUCGAGUGAAAUAAAAUUGGCAGUGUUUCUCUGGAAAUGAAAUCAGGAAAAAGAAUUAGAGACGAGGAAUUUCCAAGCGGAAAUGCCUCUGCGGGGUUUCUAGAGUUGGAAAUCCGGCACACGGCGUAUGCACAGAUAGGUAGGGAUAUGUGAGUUUGCAUUUCCCCGAGUACUACCCGAAUGUACUCGUGGGUGAACCGGGUAUGCGUGCAGUAUGAAAAAAAUCUAAACUAGCAAACAGACAGAGGCAAUAAACAUGCAACAGAAAACACACCAGGCAAAAUCAUUCUACGGUGUUUUAAUGCUAGUGGGUAUAUGUACUCCUGGUAUAUAUACCUACACCAGCGCGCAUUUUAUUAUAGACUCGAGACGAGUUAGGGUUGAUUUAGUCUAUGUGAUCUACUAAUUAAAAUUUUGUUAGCAACACAGUGUCAACCCUGUCAAACAUUUCUGCUUGACAGAGAGACAAGCAAAAACAACACAAAAACAAAAGCACAAAAGCAUACAUAGAACAUAGCAUACGGGUUACAACAGUACCAGCAUACAACAAAGCACGAACGCUCUACGCGCUAAACGAAACAACUCAUACCGGGAUACAUAGUUCUAUCCUCAUAUUGGGGAUGAACCGACAGACUGAUCAUCUUACUGCUUGACUGAGGUCAUGCAAAGGACUUGCCUUGCUGGGGCUGUCCGGGAGGACGAAGACUGAGCCAAUCUCCAUCUUCAUCAUCCGACACUACUAUGGGUUGUGGUUCGGCUGCUGGGUGUGUGGCUGAAAUUGAUCCAAGCAAAUGCUGCUGGUGGAUCUGUAAAAGAGCCUUGUCAAGGGUGACGAUGUUGGGUCUAGGCCACAACAUGGGUUGAGAGGACAGCACUGGUUCGGAUGGCGUUGGACAAAUGACUUGAGAUGCGAAUUUACGAGCCUCACGGUAAGCUUCCUUGACGACUCGCACCGCAUCGUUGUCCAGUGUUCAAAACUCGGCAAGCAUCUGGGAAAUCAUCAUCCCCUGGGCGGUAAUAUACUGCACCAGGCGAGCGAUUGCGGGGUCAUCUCCUUGGCUAGCGGGAGAAGGCUGCAUUCCUACCUCUGUCACAAUGGGGUAGAAGCAGAAAUCACGCCUUGCUGCCAUAUGCGGGUAUCUGGUUUGGAGGUGAAACAUAGCCUCCACAGCAGCGGCCUGAAUGGCUAAAUCAGAGGUAGGCAUAGCUCUACCCUGAAAAACCAACGGCUGGCCAUCCGCUGCUAGGCUGAUGCACACUCUUGCAUCGAAGCGAUGAAGGUGAGGGACGGGUGAUGAUUGGAACACCAGGUAAUCGGGGCUAGCCUUACAGCCAAAGGCUUUGGUGAGCAUCUCAGCAAGAAGGGGUGGAAAGCCGGGGUGGUUGACGGCACCGGCCCGGGUGUGAAGCUUGGGAGCUUUGAAGGUGCCAGUCAUGGCUGGAGUGCUACUAGCUAGGCUUCUCUCCAGGGACAUGGCUGACUGAGGGGUGAGCGAUAUGGCGAGCGGAAAGGGAGCUUUUAUAGGCAGCUAUGUGGGACAUGCCCGCAUGGUGUGGCCCCUUUCCCUUAAUGGCGAAGGGUGAGCGGUGUGGCCGACCAGAAAGGAUAUGGUUGCUAUUCGCACCACAGAUAACUAGGCGGGGACAGCGGGGUGAGGACGUGUCGGUCCCGACUGCGCCACCUGUUGAUUAACAGUGGCCAUGCCGUAUGUAGGGAUGGGUCAAAUCCCUUAGGGCCAUUACCGGUUAAUGGUAGCGGUGAUCUAAUACUAGGAUAACCUAUGCCAGCCUGGCUGCUCUGAUACCAUGCCCUGUGGCACCCCGAUCAGCAUGGAGCAGGGGGCCUUCGCACGUCAGCCCAGGAUAACACCUGACGCACGACAGGUCCAUAAUACAGCAUUCCAGGUACAAAAAUAUUCAUCAAAUACAUGUAUAUCAGAUGACAUCAUUGAUGAAUACAAUUAUCUAGCAUAGCCCUAAGGCUAUUAAAUGACAAUGGAAGUCUGAUAAAAAUGGCGGAAGAAGUCUUGGUUUGGCAGCAUAACAACUCUGGCUGGGCUCCACAACUCACAGGACUGACAAGGUUACGGCCUAGCACGACGGAUCAAACGAACAAUUCGGGUACGACCUACAAAACUGGCAUGACACGCCAGGUCAGUACAUUGAAUGUACUUGCAAGACAACCAAAUACAUAGCAUCCAAACAAGCUGCAGACAAAGCAAGAACCGAGCGCAUGCAACACCCUAUCUCAUAUCAAUUACUAAACAUGGCAUGAUAAAAAUCAACUAAGCAUGAACAAAAUCAUAACAUCUACUAACAUGGCAAUGACAUGGCAUAUCAGAACAUGAUUACAACAUUGUAAUAGCAAAACAUAGAAUUUUAUCUCCAUCAUGGCAUAACUUAACAUGUCAAUCAAAGCAUAGCAUGGCAUCAAGAAACUAUGCUGAAAAUAAACUACCAAUAAUAUCCAAUGCAGACAUAGCAUGUUAACAUUAUGCACUCAUCUUCUGUUCUAUCAUGGUUCUUUAAAUGCAAAUAAUGAUAUAUUAUUCCAGCAAUGCAGCCAAACUUGUGCACCGAGUCCCUCGGACUCUCUUACCAACUGUGAUCAUCUCUGGAUCACAAACACACCACCAAAGCGGUCUUUCUCAAGAACAACUCGUGAUCCUUACGGCGAUCACAACCACGACCAACACUUGGUCUCCAACCAUGAUCCUUACGGCGAUCACAACCACGACCAAUAUUUGGCCCGUGAUCCUUACGGCGAUCACAACCACUUAUCUCAUCAUCAAAAUAUCGUCGUGACUCCUCACGACUAUCUCAUAGUUCAAGUUACCAUAUUCUUGUUAUCACAUAUUUAUUUACCAACUUAAUUAUUUCGGUUUGUCCUCCAUUUCGACCAAGACCUGAUAGUGGGACCUACUACGAACUGUUACUAUCGAUAGACUUUAUACACUCUGCAGAGGUAGCACACUGUACCCACACCACGGAACCCAUGGCCUCGUCAUCCCAUUCGGGUGGACCAACGGCAUUCCGACGAAACCAACCUACUGCCAUGACGCUCUCCCGGCCACUCCGACCCAAUCCCCAACGGGCUGGUCCUGGGUGGCUCCGUGUCUACCAAAGACACCCCGACCACCGUCGUGGUCAACUCCCACUCGGGGACACUCCCACUCGGGGACUGGUACCAAAAAUCUCAAAAACGAGCACACAAGGUUAUGUCCGCUUACCUGAUCAGGGUAAGCACGCCCAUAGCCUUCCCUAGUGGGAGGCACCGGCGAGAGGUCACGACAAUAGCUCGCAUUAUGGCCUUCCCACAAAGGCAAAUGUGGCUGCACUGAAAAAAGUUCGAUUUGGUGGCACUAUGCCUCGAUCCCAUCGAUGACGGAGGAGGUUUGUUAUUAUUAAGUCAUUUUAUUUCCCUCUCCAUCAUCAUGAACAUGAAUGCAACAAUGAGCAUGCAACAUACAAAUGCAUGAACAAAUUAUUGAACUUCUCAAGUGCACAACUAUAGCAUAAAGAACAUGACAAUACCAAGUAAUAGCAUAUCAACGGUGCAUUACAAUCCUCAUAACAUUUUAUAAUGAUGAUAUGCAAAUAAAGUAGAGUAGUGACAUAGCAUUAUCAAUAACAACAUUCUAAUUAGCAUGGCAAACGAUAUCGUGAAAACACAAGCAUGCAUAACAGGCAUAAUAACUGCAGACGAAAACGAUGUGAAACAACUGCAGCUACACACACACAAGGUGCAAGCAAAUUCAACAUGCAAGUUCGGGGCUCAUGAUAAGAGGUUGGCUUGCUUGGGGGUCGACAAAUACUCCGGGAAGAAGUGCGAAAUGAUCGCGAAAAGAUUUGUCGGAAACAGUUCCUUCUCGGAGGGGGCUGUUUACGGGCAAGGGAAAAAAGGUCAUUUUCACUAUGUGAAAAUAUUAUGGAAAUGAUAUCAAUGGAACGAGCUCGACGAAACGAAGACGUGGGCUUUGGAAUCACCUGCUUCGGAGCUACGGGUAAAAAGAUAUGAUUGUUUAACUACCAGGGACCUAUCUGUAAAGAAAAUCAUUACAAAC